rnacentral:rRNA from 1 species
CCCGUGAACCUUUACUAUAGCUUCGCAGUGGCAACAGGACCGUCAUGUGUAGGAUAGGUGGGAGACGUUGAAACCAGGACGCCAGUCUUGGUGGAGUCAUCCUUGAAAUACCACCCUUGACGCUCUUGUUGUCUAACCGCGGCCCGUGAAACCGGGCCCGGGACCCUGCGUGGUGGGUAGUUUGACUGGGGCG